UCUCUGCAAGUUAAGGCCCUAAAAGUAAAGGUGCCUCUUUCUUUUCAUUGUUUGAAUCUUUGUUGGAAUUAGGAUUCCCAACAUGGCCUCUAAGAGGAGGUUCAAAGUGUUUGCUAGCAACAUCAGGAGGAGGUGCAUCUUCUCCAGGAAGCACAAGAAGACCUAUCUCUCGAAGUGAAGACGGCUCAUCAAAGCAUGUGCUCCAAAGGGAGUCUACAAGCAGCCUUUCCUCC
rnacentral:lncRNA from 1 species